UUCUGCCAGGGCUUGACUGGCAUCAGGAAGGACUGCAUUCAAAUGUGGAGCAUCACAACAAACACACCAGUUGAGCUUGCACCCAGGAAUUAGAAUACCAGAUCUGAACUGAUGUUCAAAAUGAGCUGCUUGCAAACACACAUCACCUAACAUUGUUAUUUACGGGUGGGGAUAAGAAAGAAAAAUUCCAACAAGUUAGAUAAACAGGAUGAUUUAUAACACCUAAUGCCUAAAGCAAAUACCAAACUAUUUUAGAAUCUGUUUUCCUCUGAUGUGGCAACUGCUGGGUCAGUUCUUGUCCACUUUGAAAUAUCACUUAAAUAACAGUCCUCAAUUGAUAAAAUCAGUUGGGUAACAGGACCUAAUCUGAACAGCUGCUAAGUUGCUUAUUUGCUUUUUGUAGCUUUGCCACACUUCUUUGCUACUGUUCUUUGCAACUUCUCACUGGCCUUGUUCCUUGCUUUCUUUGCUAGCCACUCUCUUUACUGUGGCACAUAAUGAAUGGUUCCUGCUACAGCAGCUCAGAGCACUGGAAGUAACAGACAUCUAACACACACGUUUAUGUGUGUUAGCUUAAACAGCUUUUCCUACUUUGCAGCAUAAAGGGAAUUUUUGAAUAAUACUUCUUUACUCAGCUUUAGAGGAGAGAUUGAUUUUUUUCUUUUUUUAGGCCUUCACCAUCUGUCUCACAGCAGAGACAGCACAGUUGGCAAGUAGACAGUCUUGGGACUGUCCCUUGUCAUCACUGUUCCUCCUCUGCCCCCUGCAUGCUGGGAACAGGGACCUUGCCCCAGUGCCAGACUCAAAGCAAUCGUUCAGCUCUCUCCUUGCCAGUCGCUUCUUGAGUCAUGUCUUCUCUCAAGCAAUCUUUCUCAACUUUUUGGCCUGUCAGUCUUCAUGCAGCCCUGAGUCAAUUCUUCUGCCGAGGAGGAACUGAGCUGCUGCCAGUAGGGAGAGUGUCUGUACCCUUGACUGUUUUUCCUCACCUGGAGGCCCAGUCACAGUGGAUUUAGCUCAGUCUGCAAACCACUCAGCCCUUCCUCAGCAACUGUGUAGUUUUAAAGAAUGUAGUCUCUGCCCUUCACUGAGAAAUUGAAGCCUUUGCAAUCUCCUGACACAGCAAUUAGCAAUCUCCUGACACAGUCUUACUGGUAUGCAUAUUUUCCUUCUCACUCAGCGAUAAUGUCAUCAUCCAUUUUGCUCUUAAGUCUGAGGAAUGAAAAGUGACGAUUUGAAAUACUUCACUGUUGCAAAGGGAAAGGAUCUCUUUCCAGAUGUAAAGCUAGAUGUACCUUUCUUCUGUAUUUUACAGAAUAUCAAGAGCAUGACUAAGGUAUAAGCUGUUCAGUUACUUAGGGUGUACAUAGCUAGUGGUUACACAAAUAAAUCUUGAAAUUCAGAACUCAUAAAUUCAAUCUCCUACCCACAUUGAUGAAUGACGCAUUGGAAGAUAUUCAGGGACCUAAACACAGGCAUCCAGUGCCAUUUUAGCUACAGGCUGUACAAUGUAUCUACAUUAGCAAUUUCACAACCCUUUACAGCAGCAGUUGGUAAGCCAGGAGAGAUUGGUGCCUAUUCCAUGUAUAUGAAUCACUGCCACAUUGUGGCAUUCACACGUUGCUGGGGAGCACUAGGAAAAAAAUUAUGAAAUAAUUACAUCUCUUUUACAUUCUGACGUGAUCAACAUGUAGAUUUGCUUAAGACGUUAACAGGCAAUCAGUUCGAGUUAAGUACCUUCUCACAGACAUGAAAAUCAGGAGGGAAAAACUGAAUUUAAUAACAUCUUUUUAA